AGAAUGAACGCUAGCGAUAUGCUUAACACAUGCAAGUUGAACGUUGUUUUCGAGUCAAAAUGAAAACAAAGUGGCGAACGGGUGCGUAACACGUGGGAAUCUGCCAAACAGUUUGGGCCAAAUCCUGAAUGAAUGAAAGCUAAAAAGCGCUGUUUGAUGAGCCCACGUAGUAUUAGGUAGUUGGUUAGGUAAAAGCUGACCAAGCCUACGAUGCUUAGCUGGUCUUUUCGGAUGAUCAGCCACACUGGGACUGAGACACGGCCCCAGACUCCUACGGGAGGCAGCAGUGGGGAAUAUUGGACAAUGGGCGAAAGCCUGAUCCAGCAAUGCCGCGUGUGUGAAGAAAGUCUUCGGAUUGUAAAGCACUUUCGACGGGACGAUGAUGACGGUACCCGUAGAAGAAGCCCCGGCUAACUUCGUGCCAGCAGCCGC
rnacentral:rRNA from 1 species